rnacentral:rRNA from 1 species
AACGAACGCUGGCGGCAUGCCUAACACAUGCAAGUCGAACGAGACCUUCGGGUCUAGUGGCGCACGGGUGCGUAACGCGUGGGAACCUGCCCUUAGGUUCGGAAUAACUCCCCGAAAGGGGUGCUAAUACCGGAUAAUGUCUUCGGACCAAAGAUUUAUCGCCGUUGGAUGGGCCCGCGUUGGAUUAGCUGGUUGGUAGGGUAAAAGCCUACCAAGGCGACGAUCCAUAGCUGGUCUGAGAGGAUGAUCAGCCACACUGGGACUGAGACACGGCCCAGACUCGGACGGGAGGCAGCAGUGGGGAAUAUUGGACAAUGGGCGAAAGCCUGAUCCAGCAAGGCCGCGUGAGUGAUGAAGGCCGUAGGGUUGUAAAGCUCUUUUACCCGGGAGGAUAAUGACAGUAACGGGAUAAUAAGCUCCGGCUAACUCCGUG